AUUGAACGCUGGCGGCAUGCUUUACACAUGCAAGUCGGACGAGUGGCGAACGGGUGAGUAAUAUAUUGGAACGUACCGAGUAAUGGGGGAUAACCAAUCGAAAGAUUGGCUAAUACCGCAUACUAUUCGAGCGGCCAAUAUCUGAUUAGCUAGUUGGUGGGGUAAAGGCCUACCAAGGCCACGAUCAGUAGCGGGUCUGAGAGGAGGAUCAGCCACACUGGGACUGAGACACGGCCCAGACUCCUACGGGAGGCAGCAGUGGGGAAUUUUGGACAAUGGGCGAAAGCCUGAUCCAGCCAUGCCGCGUGUCUGAAGAAGGCUUUCGGGUUGUAAAGGACGUUUGUUAGAGAAGCGGUACCUAAAGAAUAAGCACCGGCUAACUACGUGCCAGCAGCCGCGGUAAUAC
rnacentral:rRNA from 1 species